AGAAUCAACGCUGGCGGCGUGCCUAACACAUGCAAGUCGAACGAGAAAGUGGAGCAAUCCAUGAGUAAAGUGGCGCACGGGUGAGUAACACGUGACUAACCUACCCUUGAGUGGGGAAUAACUUCGGGAAACCGAGGCUAAUACCGCAUAACACCUACGGGUCAAAGGAGCAAUUCGCUUAAGGAGGGGGUCGCGGCAGAUUAGUUAGUUGGCGGGGUAAUGGCCCACCAAGACGGUGAUCUGUAUCCGGCCUGAGAGGGCGCACGGACACACUGGAACUGAAACACGGUCCAGACUCCUACGGGAGGCAGCAGUGGGGAAUUUGCGCAAUGGGGGAAACCCUGACGCAGCAACGCCGCGUGGAGGAUGAAGUCCCUUGGGACGUAAACUCCUUUCGAUCGGGACGAUUAUGACGGUACCGGAAGAAGAAGCCCGGCUAACUCGCGCCAGCAGCCGC
rnacentral:rRNA from 1 species